rnacentral:rRNA from 1 species
GUGUCAGCCGCCGCGGUAAUACGGAGGGUGCGAGCGUUAAUCGGAAUUACUGGGCGUAAAGAGUGCGUAGGCGGUUAUUUAAGUCAGAUGUGAAAGCCCCGGGCUUAACCUGGGAACGGCAUUUGAUACUGGGUAACUGGAGUUUGGGAGAGGCAAGUGGAAUUUCAGGUGUAGCGGUGAAAUGCGUAGAGAUCUGAAGGAACACCAGUGGCGAAGGCGACUUGCUGGCCUAAAACUGACGCUGAGGCACGAAAGCAUGGGUAGCAAACAGGAUUAGAAACCCCCGUAGUCC